GGACCCAUCGUUCAACGGAUAGGACGCGCCUCUGCGGAGGGCGAGAUCCAGGUUCGAUUCCUGGUGGGUCCG
rnacentral:tRNA from 1 species